UCCAAAGGAUGAGGUCACCUUCCUGCACCAUUCCAGCCUGGACCAGACUACCCUGGCAAACACACAGCAUCUAGUGGUGGUCGGAUUAACCCACUUCCACGUCACUUUAGCUGGUGUCAUGCAUGCAGAGGGACGUGCAAUUGGAUUAUAACUCUUCAUGCCCUAAAAGUGCGCGCUGUCGACGGAGACAAAGAAGCUUGUUUUGAUCCACGAUGGCGGUUCUCGCGGCAUCGUGGCAUCGAGAGCGCAGUCUCCUCCUGAUCGCUGGCUACGAAUGACGUCACCCUGGGCCAGGUGGGAGGGAGGGGAAAGGGGCGUGGUCAGCGCCAGCCGGGCACAGUGAUUGACAGUUCAUUAAAGGUACACCGCGGUUUAUUUAAGGACACCACGUGAUCAUUAAUGGUAGAUUUGAAAGAGUGCUUUGUUCCAUAAACCUUAUCUUGUGUUUGAAGUGUUUUAGGACAAAAUUCAUUGUCGAUAUUUGAAUUAUAUAUUGAUUGAUUGAAACUUUUAUUAGUAGAUUGCACAGUACAGUACAUAUUCCGUACUAUUGACCACUAAAUGGUAACACCCCAAUAAGUUUUUCAACUUGUUUAAGUCGGGGUCCACGUAAAUAAAUUCAUGGUAAAAAAUAAAAAAAAGUAUUUAAUUGCCGCCGGGGCGUUAAUGAAUUUAAAACCUCUUCUCACUCCUGCGCUUACCAAAGGCAUGCGGUAAAAGUAAGCAUGCGCCAAUUAUUUUAAAACCUCUUCUCACUCCGGCACUUACCAAAGGUAUGCAGUAAAAAUUUGAAUGUGAUGUAAGCUUGGACUUUAAAUCCUACUGAAUAGCUCUUAAUCUUCUUCCCUUUAUGCGAUUUCAAAUUACCGGUAUUGAAACCAGCCUCCUUCAUUUUGAAAAUGAUGACAGGGGAAGUGUCACUCGUGACGUCACGAGUUUGACCAGGCGGUAAUACUAAGCAUGCGUUAAUUAUUUUGGGAAGCGAGUUUGACCCGGCAGUAAUUCAAGGCAGGCACAUACUAUAUGCCCUGUGGCAAUUCAAGGAAAUACGGUAUAUAUAAACUAAAAUGUGAAAAAAACUCAUGUGUUGCCCAUUUGGUGAAAAAAAUAAAAGGUAAAUAAAGAGAGUUUAUGGACAUGUUCUACGGUCAAACCUCAGCAAGAAAUCAACGUGAUGAUUUUGCUGGAGUGGCGCCUCAACUUACGAGCUUAGUUGGUUGUGUGGCGGAGCUCUUAAGUCGAAGCACUUGUGUCUCAAAUCAACGUCGCCCAUUUAAAAAUAAAUUUGAACGGUGCACAAUUUUAACAUGAAAAAGGACCUUUAUUUUACAAAAAAAACAAAGCACAAUUGGAUGUGCUACAAACAACUACAGUAGUUUUAUGGAGUAAUGCAAUGAUAGUAUGCAGCAUUUAUCUUGGAGAGUGGUCUUUAACGCCGUCUCCUUCCAACACACCAUCAGCGGCUUCUUCAUAUUUUCAUGAGUAAAUGUCCGUUGUUUGGAUAUUAUUUAAAGGUGCCGUAUGUAAUAAUGUGGCCAGAAAUGGUACUGCAAUCAUGGUCAAAAUUCUGUAGUCCCCUCCCUUGCUCCGUGACUGGGGUUGCCAGAUAUGCAGCUGAAUCCAGCUCGAUCAACUGGGCUACUCCAAGGAACUUCAAACUUCCACUGCAUCUCACUAGGGGUUGAGGUGCUGGGACCAUAAUAGCUGAAUAGAAAGGGUUUUGUCAAUAACGAAUCUCUAACCAUCACAUUUU